rfam:Halobacteroidaceae bacterium T328-2 scaffold_544, whole genome shotgun sequence.
GAAUACUGAAAUUGACAGCUGUAGACAGUGGGUGCUUGCAAAAGCUUAAAUUAACCCACCGAGGCGGGGAUAGAGAAUAUGCUGUUCUAGUUUGCUGCAUUAAUUCUCUUAUGAUAGAAUUGUUCUUAGGUCUCCAGUUGUCUGCGGAGGCUUUUUUUAGUUUGAA